AGAGAUGGUUUUACUGUAGACCGUCUUCCUCCCUUGAUCACAAAAUAGUAGCGGCGGCGAACCUAGAGUCAAUCUCCCACUUCCGACCACUUCUCUCUCUCUCUCUCUCUCUCAAUCCCUCUAACUUCUUCCUCUCCUCCCCUUUAUUCCCCCAUCGAAUCAGUCAAAGUCAUCGAAAUCGACUAUUCACUCCCUUCCUCCCUUAGACACACAGUGAAAGAGCAGAGUAGCGGUAGCAGUGACCUCAAUGAUCUUCAUCCGGAUUCCGGCGGUUCGCUAUCAUCUUCCAGGGUGCACAAUACUCUAGAAGUCCUCAUUGGCCUUCCUCGUCAGUGUUGAUUCCUCAAACGUAGUGGUACCCCCUAUUUUCACCGACAUGAUACGGUUAUUGGCAAUGGUGGUUUGAGUUUUCCUCAUGAUACCGAACUACUCUCCCGGUCCAGAUCUAUCUUUCCACAAUUCUCUCGUCCUGUUUCCAGAGUUAGCUGUUAUCUAAAAACAAACGACAGAGACAGAGUUAGCUGAGUUGUCAUUUGCAACAUCAACCAAGUUCAGGCCCCACCUAUUGGACUCAGGAGAGGGGUGUCUUAACCCCUUCCCUCUCCCAUCCGAGUCUUACUCAGACUGGUUAGCCGGUGCCUUGGGUUUUGGAGUCACAAAUGAACAAAAAAAUGCUUUUCGAUGUAAAUCUCGGAUGUCCCAUCACCUCUAUUUCCAUAACUGAUGGAUGGCAACUCCAUUUCCAGCCCAAGUGAGCCAUUUUCUGACACUCACAACAUCCAAGAACGACACUAGCAAUCAAGAAAAGUUUACUGCUAGCACGAGCUCAGUCCAAGCGGCUUCUCUGAUUUUCAGCUUGUCCAAGGAAUAGUAUCAACAGUUAUUAAGCACCAUCGGGAGUCUGUCUGAUCUUCUGAACAAUGAUAAACAUACUUUCUCAGCCAACUUUGCAGGACCUGACAUCUAAGAAGUUGAUUGGUGUGGGCCUAAUGUGUGAUGCGUUGUAUCACUUCACUUCCCUUCCACCAUCCUUCUCCUUGCACAAUACCCGCACACAUGAUCCAUGCAUAUGGCAUUCAAGAUGGAGGAGCUUCAGAAGAUGGAUCCUACAUCAUCACUAAUACAACUCCAUUCUAACAGAAUAGAGGGAGCCCCCCUUUUUUGGUCCCCCACAAGAAAAUUGGUUUAAAGCUAAUGUUGAUGGGGCUUCUGUUAACAGUAGUUCUACAGCAGUGGGUGUGGUGGCCUGGUUUACUACUUUUCUGGUCUUUUGGUAGCUGCAAAUUUCGGCCAAGUUCAGGUAGGUUCAACAGCUAAAGUUGAAGCUCUUGCGGUCCCUAGAAGGACUUCUUUUUGCUAAAUAUCUAAACUUAAAAGGAUGUAAUUGUUGAAAGUGAUUAUUAAAACAUUGUUAGCUGCUUAUCAAACCAGUUUUUGGAUAUAUUUGUUGAUAGCUUCUUCCAUGGUCAAGACUGUUCUGCUUUUCCUGGGUUCAGAGAGAUGCCAAUCAGGUGGCUGGAUUGAUGCUUACCGUUGAUGGCUAGCUGAAUGGACUGUUCUUGAGUUCAGCCCCCUUGCUUUUUAAUUGUUUUGUUGUCUUUGCUGUUUUUUUUUUUUUUCCCUCUUUUUUCUUUGCUAUGAUUUGUGUGUCUUUUGUUUUCUUUUUGUUUCUCUGUUUUUGCGGUGUAUUUGGCUUCGGCUUGUUUUCUCUUUAAUGAAGAUCUUAGUUAUGAAAAAUAUUAGAUGGAUUGGGUUAGGUUAAGGGCCAAUCUAGCUUGAACCCAAAUUUGCAAGUGAACGAAUCUUCUUAUUAUAUAAAAGAAGCCAUUGCUCAUUUCCAUGGGUUA